rnacentral:rRNA from 1 species
UUACCCCUUGCAAGUGGAGGGGCACCAUUUCCAGCCAAUGGAUGAUGGGGGCCGGGGGGAGGGUGGUUAACGCUUGAACAACAUCCCCUAUACAGGGAGAUCCACCAGGGAAAAUUUGUUUAAAUUUUCCCAUACCAUUCAUGGAAGGCAUUCUUUAAUGAAAUUAAGGUUUCGGUGGUAUUGGGAUUGGUUCGCGUAACAUUAGCCAGAUGGUGAGUAAACGGCUCACCCAUAGCAAUGAUUUCUAGGGUUUUUGAGAGGAAGGCCCCCCACACUGGGACUGAGACACGGCCCAGACUCUUACGGGAGGCAGCAGUGAGGAAUAUUGGACAAUGGAUGGAAAUCUGAUCCAGCCAUGCCGCGUGCAGGAAGACGGCCUUAUGGGUUGUAAACUGCUUUUAUACGGGAGCAAUAAGGGUUACGAGUAAUCCGAUGAGAGUACUGUAUGAAUAAGGAUCGGCUAACUCCGUGCCAGCAGCCGCGGUAAUACGGAGGAUCCGAGCGUUAUCCGGAAUUAUUGGGUUUAAAGGGUGCGUAGGCGGCCAUUUAAGUCAGCGGUGAAAUUUUGCAGCUUAACUGUAACAGUGCCGUUGAUACUGUUUGUCUAGGAUUUGGUUGUAGUGUGCGGAAUGUGUGGUGUAGCGGUGAAAUGCUUAGAUAUCACACAGAACACCGAUUGCGAAGGCAGCACACUAAGUCAUUAUUGACGCUGAGGCACGAAAGUGUGGGGAUCAAACAGGAUUAGAUACCCUGGUAGUCCACACUGUAAACGAUGAUAACUCGCUGUCGGCGAUACACAGUCGGUGGCCAAGCGAAAGC